GCUCACUGUGGCAGAGUGUGUACUAAAAUUGGAAGGAUACAGAGAAGAUAAGCAUGGCCCCUGCACAAGGAUGGCACACACAUUCAUGAAGCAUUGCAUAUUUUU
ensembl:snRNA U6 U6 spliceosomal RNA